rnacentral:lncRNA from 1 species
GAAUUCAGUUUUGUCAGAUCACACUCUGUCUUGGUCAGAACUGGAUGGUGUUAAAGGAGAAGAUAUGGAUGAUUCACUCUGACUCAAUACAGAAAUCCUUCUUGUGGUCUAUAGACGAUGCUAUCUUUCAAGUUCCAGCUAGAAAAGAAAAUGAGUCUUAAUUGUGUGCAGCUUCCUGGAAGAUCAGCUCCAUCUCCCCCUGCAAGUCCUUUGAAUAAGGCUGUGAAGUUCUCACUGAGCUUUCUGACUGUCCACUGCGAAAAAAAAGGAAGAUCGUUGCAUUUUUUUUCAACGGAAAAAAACAAUCGAAGGAAACUAAAGAACUCCUUAAAUAACUCAGCAGCCUUUUUUCCCCCUCCAGCUCUACAGCACAGAUUCGCAGAAUGACUUUUAAAGAGAUAUCCUGCACCUGCAGAUAGAAAUGAAUAUAUAUGUUUUAAAGUACAACAAGCCUCUACAGAGUUUCACAGUGAGCUAAACCCAGUGACUUAAACCCGGCGCGCUGUAUCUUUACAUCUUUGGCUGUCAAAUCACGUUAAUAGCAGUGGGUGGUCAUGGUUGGAAAUUGACUUCCUAAAUCUCACAUUAGUAUCUAAGUGAUGCACCGUACAUGGGAAUCCAUAGAGGGUUAUGUAUUGUGUCCUCAUGCAAGAUUCUCAGUAUCCAAAGCCUUCUCGAAAACAAACCUUUUUGCUUAGUGAUUAGGUUACCGGGGGCCACGGGGGAGUUCAUCACAAGACUGCGAGAAAGAGAUGACAUGGUCCUGCCUGAGCCGGAGGAUGUGGACAACAGGACCAGCGGUGUGGGAAUUAGCCUGGGAUUGGUCAUAUAACCCAGCACAGGCCAAAUCCUGCUCUCCUUCCUGAGGACAUAUUCCCAUAGAAGACACAGGGCUGAGGGCAAAGGGAGUUUUGCCUUAUUCUGAGCACCGCAGGACAUGUCCCUGGGUGACAAGAGGAUGAAUUAUUAACACCCAGCAGGACUGAAGGCAGAGGCCCACCUCGCGUGAGCAAAGCAGGCAAGAGUUGCCUCUGCAUGUAAUAUCCAAAAAUAAGUGAAGGACCAAAUUCAGCCCUGGGAAUCUGGAGGACGUCCACAUAGGUCAGUUGAGUUACUGAAGAUUUACACGGUUCAAAUACAGAGGAGAAUCCUUCCGGUUUGUGCUACUUUAUUGAUACCAGUGUUUAAUCUCUACAUCACAGAGGGACACAUUGGGUGUUCCUUAAUAGACCAAAACGCCCAUUGACUUCUAUUCCAUUGACUUCAGUGGGAGUUUCGCUCCACUAAAGACUGCAGAAUUUGGCCUAAAGUGACCGCAAUAAUUCUGCUACCGGUAAUGGAGCUUCAAAGCUAGCUCUAAUUAGCAGACAAGUAAGAAUCGUUAAGCCCGGGUACAGUUUAAGUGUAAGGGAGCUGUGAAACAGUUAAACGCUCCUCAUUUCAACCUUACCUUAUCAUAGAAAUCAUACCUCUGUGCCUAUAACCCUUCAAAACGUUACUUAUAGACAAAACUCUUCAUAAAGGAUUUCUGGUUUCAGAACUGAAAUGUUACUGUCACAGCAAGGAAUCACAAAUUACUGGAAAAUUAUAGAAAGUUUCAACAUAAACUGAGCUCCCCCUCCCCCCAAGCUUUAAAGCAAUAAUAACAUAAGCAUGUCUUUAUACAUCUAAAACACACACCCAGUCGCUUUUGUUUGCACGCAAUCCAGAGGACUCCAAAAGAGUUCUGUUAAUUCUGAGCACGAUUUGGUCACACUGGAUCACCACCUUUCUACGCAGCUCUUUUCCUGACAACUUUCUGACUACUGAAGGAAGCAAAAGGAAAGUACAGAACAAUAUCAGCGUUAGCAGGACACGCCAUAUCAAAAUUACACUGUAAAUCUACCCUGGUUACAUCACAAGGGAACCAUGUACAACCUCUUUGCAUGCCCAUCUCCAUAUGUGCUUGCUAAAUUCCAGAGCUGAACUUUCACCAGGCGUUGAAAUGGUGUUAUUAAAUAGCCUGCUACGUUGAUUCCUGCCUAAAUAUUUUCCCCUCUGAAAAAAAAAAAUUCCCCUGAGCUAGAAUUAAUUUUGGAAAGACCAGUUUCACCUUGCCAUAAAUCAGUCUUACUACUGAGAACCGCGCAAGGAUGUUUCUGUUGUCCUGUGUGAAAUACAGCAAAGAAAGUAGAUAGGAAAGUCAAAAACUUUUUUUUAAAAGGACACUCGCAUAACCAAACAAUAAGUAAUCCUCUUGAAAUCCAUCAGGCACGACAAUAAACUGAAAUGGUCCUAAAUCUUGGGUCGUAAC